rnacentral:rRNA from 1 species
UCGAGGAUCUUCGGCAAUGGGCGCAAGCCUGACCGAGCGACGCCGCGUGUGCGAUGAAGGCCUUCGGGUUGUAAAGCACUGUCGAGGGGGAGAAAACCCCGCAAGGGGUUGAUCUAUCCCUGGAGGAAGCACGGGCUAAGUUCGUGCCAGCAGCCGCGGUAAGACGAACCGUGCGAACGUUGUUCGGAAUCACUGGGCUUAAAGGGCGCGUAGGCGGGCUGCCAAGUCUGGGGUGAAAUCCCACGGCUCAACCGUGGAACUGCCUCGGAUACUGGCGGCCUCGAGGGGGGUAGGGGCAUGCGGAACUGUGGGUGGAGCGGUGAAAUGCGUUGAUAUCCACAGGAACUCCGGUGGCGAAAGCGGCGUGCUGGACCUCUUCUGACGCUGAGGCGCGAAAGCUAGGGGAGCAAACG